rnacentral:rRNA from 1 species
UACAGAGGUCUCAAGCGUUGUUCGGAUUCAUUGGGCGUAAAGGGUGCGUAGGCGGCGCGGUAAGUCGGGUGUGAAAUCUUGGAGCUUAACUCCGAAACUGCAUUCGAUACUGCCGUGCUUGAGGACUGGAGAGGAGACUGGAAUUUACGGUGUAGCGGUGAAAUGCGUAGAUAUCGUAAGGAAGACCAGUGGACGGAAGGCGGGUCUCUGGACAGUUCCUGACGCUGAGGCACGAAGGCCAGGGGAGCAAACGGG